rnacentral:rRNA from 1 species
UACAGAGGGGGCAAGCGCUGUUCGGAAUUACUGGGCGUAAAGGGCGCGUAGGCGGCCUGCUAAGUCGAACGUGAAAUCCCCGAGCUCAACUCGGGAACUGCGUCCGAUACUGGCAGGCUUGAAUCCGGGAGAGGGAUGCGGAAUUCCAGGUGUAGCGGUGAAAUGCGUAGAUAUCUGGAGGAACACCGGUGGCGAAGGCGGCAUCCUGGACCGGCAUUGACGCUGAGGCGCGAAAGCCAGGGGAGCAAACGGG